CCUUUCUUUGAUAUUUUUGGUAGCCCCCCCUAAGUGGUUAAUACAUUUUUGGUGCCCCCCCCCCCCAAAUAUCUUCCGGCCCCACCCCCAGCAUUAAUAAUGACUGCUCCCUAAUGUCAAAAACUAAUAUUAAAUUUGAAAAUCUACUCUUCAAACGACAGUCAACAGUUCAUGAAUUUUAUCGAUGUUUUAUUGAUGCUUUAUGCAUGCUUUAUAUGUCUUAUAUAUGUACAAUAAUUGUAAAUAUGCUAAAUAUUGUAAUAUACAGUUAAAUUAAUAGUUGCUAUUAAUAUUAAUAUAUAUAAUUAUAUUUACUUUAUUUAAUUAUAAUAUUACUAUUAAUAAAGAGUCCGUGCACGCCAGCACUUUCAUUUAAAUAAUUGCAAUACAGUGGAUUUCCUUUCAACACGUAUUUAAAUCUUUCUUUGGCUAGAAAUUUCAAGAAAAAUUCAUUAACCUACAUUCCCGCAUUCCCCCGUUCCCACAUUUCCCCAUUCCUG
rnacentral:lncRNA from 1 species